UGCACCAUUUUCCCUCACACCCAAAAAUCUCUUCUCUCUUUUUCCAUACUAAAUUAUACUCCUUAUGCAAUUGCUAGCUGAGUUUGAGGGUUUUUUUCUUUCAAGAAAUUGAUUGGAGUUUUGAUUUGGUGAAUGGAAUCUAUUCAAUAAGGGUAAGGGAGGUGACAGAAGAGAGUGAGCACAAAUGGUGUUUUUCUUGCAUGAAUUGUUCAUGCUUGAAGCUAUGUGUGCUCACUCUCUUGCUGUCACCCCACCCUCUCUCUCUCUCUCUCACACACACACACACACUAUGUCUAUAUCUAUAUGGAGUCAUUUAUGAAUAUGUGUGUUUGUUCUCCCUAUGUGGAUAAUUUUCUUGAUUAGGUAGAAGGGUUUUGUUUUCUUUUUUUUAUUGUAAUUUUUUAAGGUAUUUUGUAGCAAUAGGGUUACUGACAGGCUGAUUAGGGCUUUUUUUUCCAAAUCUUGAUUUAGGGUUUUGAAGAUUUGAGUUUUUUCACUUUUUUUGGGGAAAAAAGCCCUAAUUGACUUUCAAGGAGAUUUUUGAUCUACUCUACUGGUUUUUAGCCAUGAUGUUUGUGUUGAUCAAUAUUUAUGCUCUUUUUUCUUUUGUAGAUAUCUUGAAUUUAAUAAUAUAUUUAUAUCAAUCACAAUUGCUUGCUUGUGCCCAUUUCUUGCAGCAGAAAAUUUUGACUAAUUUUCUAUGAUGGGAGCUGGAAAAACUUGCAGCAGCCGAUUAAAGAAGAGAUUCAACUGAUGCUCUUGAAUUUUUUAUUUUGCCAUCAAAUGGAAGAACUUCUUUUAUCAUAUUCUAAUGGAUAUUGAAGAAUCUGAAUGGACAACCUUAUUUCGACCCAAAAGGGACUACCUAGCUUAGGUUAUUUUAUUUGAACUAUCAAGUUUCUAAAUACAUUGUCAAAUUGUAUAUAGUCUUUGUUUCCAUAUAUAAUUAGCUCGUUUUUUGUUGUAUCAUGAUAGAUUGUAAUUUGAGAUGAUGAAUUUAUGGAUUCCUUAUUCUUUUUCA